UGGAUUUGUGCCUUCGGGAACUGUGAGACAGGUGCUGCAUGGCUGUCGUCAGCUCGUGUUGUGAAAUGUUGGGUUAAGUCCCGCAACGAGCGCAACCCUUAUCCUUUGUUGCCAGCGAUUAGGUCGGGAACUCAAAGGAGACUGCCAGUGAUAAACUGGAGGAAGGUGGGGAUGACGUCAAGUCAUCAUGGCCCUUACGACCAGGGCUACACACGUGCUACAAUGGCGCAUACAAAGAGAAGCGACCUCGCGAGAGCAAGCGGACCUCAUAAAGUGCGUCGUAGUCCGGAUUGGAGUCUGCAACUCGACUCCAUGAAGUCGGAAUCGCUAGUAAUCGUGGAUCAGAAUGCCACGGUGAAUACGUUCCCGGGCCUUGUACACACCGCCCGUCACACCAUGGGAGUGGGUUGCAAAAGAAGUAGGUAGCUUAACCUUCGGGAGGGCGCUUACCACUUUGUGAUUCAUGACUGGGGUGAAGUCGUAACAAGGUAACCGUAGGGGAACCUGC
rnacentral:rRNA from 1 species